CGGAACGGGUGAGUAACACGUGGGCAACCCUGCCCAAAAGAGGGGGAUAACACUUGGAAACAGGUGCUAAUACCGCAUAACCAUAGUUACCGCAUGGUAGCUAUGUAAAAGGUGGCUAUGCUACCGCUUUUGGAUGGGCCCGCGGCGCAUUAGCUAGUUGGUGGGGUAAAGGCUUACCAAGGCAAUGAUGCGUAGCCGAACUGAGAGGUUGAUCGGCCACAUUGGGACUGAGACACGGCCCAAACUCCUACGGAAGGCAGCAG
rnacentral:rRNA from 1 species